GACGAACGCUGGCGGCGUGCUUAACACAUGCAAGUCGAACGGAAAGGCCCUGCUUUUGUGGGGCGCUCGAGUGGCGAACGGGUGUGUAACGCGUGAGUAACCUGCCCUUGACUUUGGGAUAACUUCUGGAAACUGGGGCUAAUACCGGAUAGGAGCUCCUGCUGCAUGGUGGGGGUUGGUAAGUUUCGGCGGUUGGGGAUGGACUCGCGGCAUAUCAGCUUGUUGGUGGGGUAGUGGCUUACCAAGGCUUUGAGGGGUAGCCGGCCUGAGAGGGUGACCUGCCACAUUAGGACUGAGAUACGGCCCAGCCCCCAAUGGGAGGCAGCGGUGGAGAAUAUUACACAGUAGGCGGAAGCCAGAUGCGACGACGCCGCGUGCGGUAAGACGGGCUUCGAGUUGUAAACCGCUUUCGCAUGAGAAGAAGAGUGAGUGACGGUAAUGGGUAAAGAAGCACCGGCUAACUACGUG
rnacentral:rRNA from 1 species